GACGAACCGUGCGAACGUUAUUCGGAAUCACUGGGCUUAAAGCGCGUGUAGGCGGGACGGCACGUCGGUCGCUGAAAGCCCCCGGCUCAACCGGGGAACGGGCGCCGAUACGACCGUCCUGGAGGGACGUAGGGGGACCUGGAACAUCCGGUGGAGCGGUGAAAUGCGUUGAGAUCGGAUGGAACGCCCGUGGCGAAAGCGAGGUCCUGGACGUUUUUCUGACGCUGAGACGCGAAAGCCAGGGGAGCGAACGGG
rnacentral:rRNA from 1 species